GACGAAGUUCAAGUACAAGCGCACAAUUGGUGGAUAACGAGAUUCAAGCACAAGACAAAGUAUUAUAGUUUUAAUGAGUCGUUCUUAAUUGUGUUCUUGAUCCGACAACUUGACUCAUGACAUGGCUUCUCUCGUAAAAUUAUUUUUACAAAAUCAUGCAUAUUUAAUUUAAUGCUAAAUGAUUUUAAAUCAUGCAUAUUUACUUUAGUCAAAAUAGUUUUUAAACAUGCCUCUAAAAUCUGGAUUAAGAUAAUCGAUUAUGUUCUUAUGAUGAUCGAUUAUGUUAAGCCA
rnacentral:lncRNA from 1 species